ensembl:snRNA U2 U2 spliceosomal RNA
AUUGCUUUGUAGCCUUUUGGCUAAGAUCAAGUGUAAUAUCUGUUCUUAUCAAUGCAGCCAACAAGCAUAUGAGAAAAAUCUCAAUAUCACUGAUCAUUAGAGAAAUGCAAAUCAAAACCAUAAUGAUACCACCU